rnacentral:rRNA from 1 species
AGAGUUUGAUCCUGGCUCAGAUUGAACGCUGGCGGCAGGCCUAACACAUGCAAGUCGAGCGGUAGCACAGAGAGCUUGCUCUCGGGUGACGAGCGGCGGACGGGUGAGUAAUGUCUGGGAAACUGCCUGAUGGAGGGGGAUAACUACUGGAAACGGUAGCUAAUACCGCAUAACGUCGCAAGACCAAAGUGGGGGACCUUCGGGCCUCAUGCCAUCAGAUGUGCCCAGAUGGGAUUAGCUAGUAGGUGGGGUAAUGGCUCACCUAGGCGACGAUCCCUAGCUGGUCUGAGAGGAUGACCAGCCACACUGGAACUGAGACACGGUCCAGACUCCUACUGGAGGCAGCAGUGGGGAAUAUUGCACAAUGGGCGCAAGCCUGAUGCAGCCAUGCCGCGUGUAUGAAGAAGGCCUUCGGGUUGUAAAGUACUUUCAGCGAGGAGGAAGGCGAUAAGGUUAAUAACCUUGUCGAUUGACGUUACUCGCAGAAGAAGCACCGGCUAACUCCGUGCCAGCAGCCGCGGUAAUACGGAGGGUGCAAGCGUUAAUCGGAAUUACUGGGCGUAAAGCGCACGCAGGCGGUCUGUUAAGUCAGAUGUGAAAUCCCCGGGCUCAACCUGGAACUGCAUUUGAACUGGCAGGCUUGAGUCUUGUAGAGGGGGGUAGAUUUCCAGGUGUAGCGUGAAAUGCGUAGAGAUCUGAGAAUACCGGUGGCGAGCGCCCCCUGACAAAGACUGACGCUCAGUGCGAAGCGUGGGGAGCAAACAGGAUUAGAUACCCUGGUAGUCACGCUGUAAACGAUGUCGACUUGGAGGUUGUUCCCUUGAGGAGUGGCUUCCGGAGCUAACGCGUUAAGUCGACCGCCUGGGGAGUACGGCCGCAAGGUUAAAACUCAAAUGAAUUGACGGGGGCCCGCACAAGCGGUGGAGCAUGUGGUUUAAUUCGAUGCAACGCGAAGAACCUUACCUACUCUUGACAUCCAGAGAACUUAGCAGAGAUGCUUUGGUGCCUUCGGGAACUCUGAGACAGGUGCUGCAUGGCUGUCGUCAGCUCGUGUUGUGAAAUGUUGGGUUAAGUCCCGCAACGAGCGCAACCCUUAUCCUUUGUUGCCAGCGGUCCGGCCGGGAACUCAAAGGAGACUGCCAGUGAUAAACUGGAGGAAGGUGGGGAUGACGUCAAGUCAUCAUGGCCCUUACGAGUAGGGCUACACACGUGCUACAAUGGCAUAUACAAAGAGAAGCGACCUCGCGAGAGCAAGCGGACCUCAUAAAGUAUGUCGUAGUCCGGAUUGGAGUCUGCAACUCGACUCCAUGAAGUCGGAAUCGCUAGUAAUCGUAGAUCAGAAUGCUACGGUGAAUACGUUCCCGGGCCUUGUACACACCGCCCGUCACACCAUGGGAGUGGGUUGCAAAAGAAGUAGGUAGCUUAACCUUCGGGAGGGCGCUUACCACUUUGUGAUUCAUGACUGGGGUGAAGUCGUAACAAGGUAACC